UAUCUUAUAAAAAUUUAAAUAAUAAAUAGCAUGUUAUUCAAGAUUAGAUUAGACCAUAGCAGUGGCUCACACCUGUAAUCCCAACACUUUGGGAGGCUGAGGCAGGUAGAUCACCUGAGGUCAGGAGUUCGAGACCAGCCUGACCAGUAUGGUGAAACCCUGUCUCUACUAAAAAUACAAAAAUUAGCUGGGUGCUUCCACAAUGGUUGAACUAAUUUACACUCCCACCAACAGUGUAAAAGCUUUCCUAUUUCUCCACAUCCUCUCCAGCAUCUGUUGUUCCCUGACUUUUUAAUGAUCAUCGUUCUAACUGGUGUGAGAUAGUAUGUCAUUGCGGUUUUGAUUUGCAUUUCUCUGAUGACCAGUGAUGAUAAGCAUUUUUUCAUGUGUCUGUUGGCUGCAUAAAUGUCUUCUUUUGAGAAGUGUCUCUUCAUAUACUUUGCCCAGUUUUUGAUGGGGUUGUU
rnacentral:lncRNA from 10 species